GAUUUGCCAGAAGCCAGCCCUGGGAGGUGAGGAGGAGGAGUGUGGUGUUCUUGGGGUGUGAAGGGAGGAGGAAUUGAGGGGAGACUGCUGAGGGUCCUAGGCUGCUCCCCGUGGGAACCCUUGGGUGGGCCAGGAUGCUGAGGACUUUUCAGGGGAGGGUAUGCAGGGGGUCGACUUGAGAGCAAGGGCUCAUCCCACCUGCACCCCGAUGUCACAGAGUGUCAUCCCCUAUCUUGGCAUUUUCCUCGGCGACCUGCUGAUGCUGCACCUGGCGAUGGGUGAUUAUCUUGAAGUGGAUGAAUCUGAGGACCAGGCAGGGAGGACCAGGAUCCUGAGCCUUGGGAUGCGAAAGCCCCCGAACUGAGCUCUGAGCUCUCAGCACUUGGCACAUCUCCUCUCAUGAGAGCCUCCCAGCCGCCCCUGGGAGCUGGGGCAUCAGGCCCAUCUUAGGGAUGAGUGAACAGAGGCUCUGCCUGAGACAUCCAUUCCGGUUCUCCAGGCUGGGGAAGCUCAGAGCUGCUUGAUGGCACAGCUGCAUGAGGUUUUAUCUGAGCUGGACUCAGCCUCUCCCUCCCAUGCUGCCCAUGGAGGGAGAGAGAAGUUGGGACCCCCAAGUCAGGCAACACAUAAGUUGCUGAGCAGUCCCCUCUGCCUGAGGCCUCAGCCUCCAAGUCUGUCAUCAGAGAGGGUUGUGCUGCCAGGUCCCUCAGCCUCACCCCCAUGGCCUCCUUCUCUGGAGCCCAGAGCCCGGCCUAGUUCCAAAUCCUGUUUUCUGUGCAUGCUCGGCCACCUCUGGGGACCUGGCAGUCGUGCACCAUGAGAAGGGGUGGACAUAGGGGGCUAGUCAGGCUAGGGGGCUCUGUCUGAUGGACUCUGGCUCUCUGCCUUCCAGGGGAAUGAGAUCAACCUUGAGAAGAGGACUGAGGAAUAAUACCGAGUCAUGAGGGAGAUCCUGCUGCUCCAGGUCACCGCAAAGAAUUAUACCAAGACCCCGAGGAGUGAUUUGGGGCCUGGUUCCAGGACAUGGAGUUGCUCAACGAGAAUGAUAGGCUGCCAUGAUCCUCCCUUUGGACUCCAUGGUCAGGGUCGCUGCAGAGAUCCUCCCUUUGGACCCCGCCUGCCUGAAGGGCCUCUACCUUGGUCAGGCAUCUUUGAAGGACUGCCGUGAGCCAUGUCACAA